rnacentral:rRNA from 1 species
GGUUCUGAUCCGGCUCAGAUUGAACGCUGGUGGAUGUUUGCCACAUGCAAGUCGAACGGCAGCAUGACGCUGGUCUGUAAGCGAGUGGCGAAAUGGCAGUAAUGUAUCGGAACGUGCUUAGUAGCGGGGGAUAAUCACGCGAAAGCGUAGCUUAAUACCGCAUGCCCUUCGGGGAAAGCGGGGACCUUCGGGCCUCGCACUAUUAGAGCGGCCGAUAUCGGAUUAGCUAGUUGGUGGGGUACCGGCUCACCAUGGACGAUCCGUGGCUGGGUUUGAGAGGACGACCAGCCACUGGGACUGAGACACGCCCAGACUCCCACGGGAGGCAGCAGGGGAAUUUUGACAAUGGGGGAAACCUGAUCCAGCCAUCCCGCGUGUGCGAAGGCGAAGGCCUUCGGGUUGUAAAGCACUUUUGGCAGGAGAAGAAAAAACGGCAUUGUGGGAUAAUACCCGUGCAACUGACGGUACCUGCAGAAUAAGCACCGGCUAACUACGUGCCAGCAGCCGCGGUAAUACGUAGGUGCAAGCGUUAAUCGGAAUUACUGGGCGUAAAAGCGUGCGCAGGCGGUUCGGAAAAAGAAAGAUGUGAAAUCCCAGAGCUUAACUUUUGGAACUGCAUUUUUAACUACCGAGCUAGAGUGUGUCAGAGGGAGGUGGAAUUCCGCGUGUAGCAGUGAAAUGCGUAGAUAUGCGGAGGAACACCGAUGGCGAAGGCAGCCUCCUGGGAUAACACCUGAUUGCUCAUGCACGAAAGCGUGGGGAGCAAACAGGAUUAGAUACCCUGGUAGUCCACGCCCUAAACGAUGUCAACUAGCUGUUAGCCUUCGGGCCUUGGUAGCGCAGCUAACGCGUGAAGUUGACCGCCAGUUCGGGGAGUACGGUCGCAAGAUUGGGAAACCCAAAGGAAUUGACGGGGACCCGCACAAGCGGUGGAUGAUGUGGAUUAAUUCGACGCAACGCGAAAACUUACCACCUACCCUUGACAUGUCUCGGAAUCCUGAAGAUUUGGGAGGUUUCCGUAAGAGAACCGAACACAGGUGCUGCAUGGCUGUCGUCAGCUCGUGUCGUGUGAGAUGUUGGGUUAAGUCCCGCAAACGAGCGGCAACCCUUUGUCAUUAGUUACUACGAAAGGGCACCUUUAACAGACUGCCGGUGACAAACCGGAGGAAGGUGGGGAUGACGUGGUGUCCGCGGCCCUUAUGGGUAGGGCUUCACACGUCAAGGCAUGGUCGGGACAGAGGGUCACAACCCGGCGCGAGAGCCAACCCCAGAAACCCGAUCGUAGUCCGGAUCGCAGUCUGCAACUCGACUGCGGAAGUCGGAAUCAUGCCAGUAAUCGCGAUCACUGGCUGUCGCGGGUGAAUACGUUCCCGGGCCUUGUACACACCGCCCGUCACACCAUGGAGUGUUUACCAGAAGUAGUUAGCCUAACCGUAAGGAGGCGAUUACCACGGUGGUAUUCAUGAUCAAGAAGUCAACAAGGUAG